UACAGAGGUGGCAAGCGUUGUUCGGAAUUACUGGGCGUAAAGGGCGCGUAGGCGGCCCACUAAGUCAGACGUGAAAUCCCCCGGCUUAACCUGGGAACUGCGUCUGAUACUGGAGGGCUUGAGUAUGGGAGAGGGAUGUAGAAUUCCAGGUGUAGCGGUGAAAUGCGUAGAUAUCUGGAGGAAUACCGGUGGCGAAGGCGGCAUCCUGGACCAUUACUGACGCUGAGGCGCGGAAAGCGUGGGGAGCAAACAGGG
rnacentral:rRNA from 1 species